CUGUGAUUCUGUGACUUCAUAAAGAGUCCGUGGCAGGAGGGCAGUUGGUUCAUUUCCAUUACUGAGUACUAUUCAACAAAAUCUGAAGGACAGCUGCUAAAUCUUAUUUAUUUCCAUGGACACAUUACGACUGCAACUUUAGGAAUAUAUCAGGGAACUAAGGAACAUCAGUUCUGCAAACAAAUCCCACACAGACAGGUCAGCAAAUAUGACAAAUGAAUCAAGAAACCAAGAAAAAAAAAAACAGCACCAGUUUCUGCAGCAGAGAACAGCGGACUAAACACUUCUGCAGAUGUGACUAAGGCAAGCACACAGAUAGUUGCUCAUGCCUUGCAUGUAAAUUCUGGAAAAGUUACACUGCAGAAGAUAAGCUCAAGGAGUAUUUAAGAAUCUUCUCAAGACACCUAAGGAAUCUGAGGGGAAAAUAGUGAAGACAAGAAGAAAGCAUUCAUGCCUGGAGUCCAGCACUUCCAAGGAGAACUUGAUAAGAAAUCUACGUCCCAUGGAAACUUCAGAGAGGGGAUUCCACAGAAGUAACAACCACAGGUCACCUGCAGGUGUUAAAACUUGCAGAGGAGUUGAGAAACCAAAGAGAAGCUCCGUUACUGUGUUGAGAAGUUCCCGUUGCUUUGGCUGGGGAAUGACAUGGGGCUAGUCAUGGUCAGAAGAAGUCCAGAUUGUUCUACUUUAAAAACAACAAAAAUAAAAUGCCAACUGUUUUUGAGUACUUUCACAGCUAGGUUUUGUAAGGGAGGGAGAGUAUAUACAGCAAUAUUCUUUCUAAAUGUUGUCCCAACAUAUAUUCCAGGAGCUGGGAGUCAAUCUUUUAUUUCUCUCAAAUUUACAGUGCAAUCAACUGUCGUGGGCUUUAUACACAAAUACAAUGUUUACCCCUACAGAGUGUAA